UACGGAGGGGGCUAGCGUUGUUCGGAAUUACUGGGCGUAAAGCGCGCGUAGGCGGCUUUGUAAGUUAGAGGUGAAAGCCCGGGGCUCAACUCCGGAAUUGCCUUUAAGACUGCAUCGCUCGAAUUGUGGAGAGGUAAGUGGAAUUCCGAGUGUAGAGGUGAAAUUCGUAGAUAUUCGGAAGAACACCAGUGGCGAAGGCGACUUACUGGACACAUAUUGACGCUGAGGUGCGAAAGCGUGGGGAGCAAACAGG
rnacentral:rRNA from 1 species